rnacentral:rRNA from 1 species
ACGCACGCUGGCGGCGUGCUUCACCCAUGCCAGUCGAACGGAAAGGCCCUGCUUUUGUGGGGUGCUCGAGUGGCGAACGGGUGAGUAACACGUGAGUAACCUGCCCUCGACUUUGGGAUAACUUCAGGAAACUGGGGCUAAUACCGGAUAGGAGCUCCUGCUGCAUGGUGGGGGUUGGAAAGUUUCGGCGGUUGGGGAUGGACUCGCGGCUUAUCAGCUUGUUGGUGGGGUAGUGGCUUACCAAGGCUUUGACGGGUAGCCGGCCUGAGAGGGUGACCGGCCACAUUGGGACUGAGAUACGGCCCAGACUCCUACGGGAGGCAGCAGUGGGGAAUAUUGCACAAUGGGCGGAAGCCUGAUGCAGCAACGCCGCGUGCGGGAUGACGGCCUUCGGGUUGUAAACCGCUUUCGCCUGUGACGAAGCGUGAGUGACGGUAAUGGGUAAAGAAGCACCGGCUAACUACGUG